UCCGUCCUUCUGUGGACUCUGGAACCCGUCCCUUAGGGACGGCUGCCAAACGCCUGUGGGAAAACCGACUGUGACGAAUUGGCCAUUUGGGUGAACUGACUUCUGGCCAAACUGGAGUUUGGCAGGCUGCCUAGGGGGAGUCGGACUGGCCGGAGGAAGUGAAAGUGAAGUGAAGUGGUUUGCUUCCAGAAAAGCCAGAAUCCACAGAAACUAGUUCCUGCUGCCUGUUUCUCCGGGACGGGGUCUUGUGUCGCUCAGGCUGGCCUCACAUUAACCUUGUAACUAAGUCUGUUUGUCUCUAUCUCCAGGGCUUCUCUGUGUAGCCCUGGCUGUCCUAGAACUCACUCUGUAGACCAGGUCGGCUUUCGGCUCAUAGAGAUCCCCCUGCCUCUGCCCGCAAGCGCUGGGAUUAAAGGUGUGCACCGCGACCGUGACCCACGCCUCACUCUCACAGCUCGCGACAGUCUGCCUUCCACGUCAACCCCCGAGUCAACGCUCUGGUAUCCGCCCUCCUCUGCCUCGGCCCCUCUCCCCGGCCCAGGCACCAGCAGAAGAGGGGAGCCCGGUGGGAGGAGAGCGAGCUGGACGGACAGAGGGCCCACCUGCACGUCUGCAUGAGCACCUGGAUGCUCUGGAAGAAGCCCACUUCCUUCUUGUCCUUCAGGUAAUCCAGCAUUUUCUGCAGCGGAAGUGGCAGGAGAUGGGGGGCGCUGGAGGCCUCUCGGGGACACCACCCCACCCCACCCACUCAGCUCUCUUCCCGAGAUCCUGUGCUGCGUCGGAUACCUGCUGCACUUCCGCGUUACCGCCAUUGAGGAUGGAGAUACCCAGCUUCAGGGUGGAAGACACCAUGGCUCCCGUCUCUCCUGGGGGUCACGGGGACGAGGCAAAACGAACAAAUCAACAAAGUCUCAGCCUCGGGGCUCCCCCACCAACCAAAAACAAGCAAAACCCCCUGCCAACGUAGGGACACGAAGGCAGGAGAUGAACUGUGCACAGACAGGGAGUGUGUGUGACCGAAGGGUGGACGGGAGACUGGUCGGCAGAUGUGACAGAAAAUCCGGAAGAGCCAGAGCGUGUAUGCAGGGAGCUCACAUCCUGUCCGUGUCCCAUACUCGGCCCAGAGUCCACGCCUUCUGUGAUCAGGCCCCGGGGAAGAGCCCCGUGUUCCUGUCUACCACUCUCUAGGGGAAGCCUGGCACUCCUUCUGUCGGGGAAGUGCUCGCAGAACCCGGGCUCUCAUCACCAAGAAGGAUCACAAACCCAUCCGUGCCACACUCCUGUCUCAGACAUCUUGAAACGUCACUUAAUGUUCACCUCAGUAAUCCCCGCCCCCACCACCACAUCUGCUUCAGAUAGUUAAAUAAAGGACCGUGCUGGUCAAUUCCUGAUUUGA